GACGAACGCUGGCGGCGUGCUUAACACAUGCAAGUCGAACGGUAAGGCCCUUCGGGGUACACGAGUGGCGAACGGGUGAGUAACACGUGGGGGAUCUACCCUGCACUUCGGGAUAAGCCUGGGAAACUGGGUCUAAUACCGGAUAGGACUCCGGACUGCAUGGUCUGGGGUGGAAAGCGUUUGCGGUGUGGGAUGGGUCCGCGGCCUAUCAGCUUGUUGGUGGGGUGAGGGCCUACCAAGGCGACGACGGGUAGCCGGCCUGAGAGGGGUGACCGGCCACACUGGGACUGAGAUACGGCCCAGACUCCUACGGGAGGCAGCAGUGGGGAAUAUUGCACAAUGGGCGCAAGCCUGAUGCAGCGACGCCGCGUGAGGGAUGACGGCCUUCGGGUUGUAAACCUCUUUCAGCAUCGACGAAGCGAAAGUGACGGUAGGUGCAGAAGAAGGACCGGCCAACUACGUGCCAGCCGCCGCCGUAA
rnacentral:rRNA from 1 species